UCGUCAGACGCGCGACCUUUCGGGGUGAGCGGCGGACGGGUUAGUAACGCGUGGGAAUAUACCCUUUGGUACGGAAUAGCCUCUGGAAACGGAGAGUAAUACCGUAUGAGCCCUUCGGGGGAAAGAUUUAUCGCCAAAGGAUUAGCCCGCGUUAGAUUAGGUAGUUGGUGGGGUAAUGGCCUACCAAGCCUACGAUCUAUAGCUGGUUUUAGAGGAUGAUCAGCAACACUGGGACUGAGACACGGCCCAGACUCCUACGGGAGGCAGCAGUGGGGAAUCUUGGACAAUGGGCGCAAGCCUGAUCCAGCCAUGCCGCGUGAGUGAUGAAGGCCUUAGGGUCGUAAAGCUCUUUCGCCUGUGAAGAUAAUGACGGUAGCAGGUAAAGAAACCCCGGCUAACUCCGUGCCAGCAGCCGCGGUAAUACGGAGGGGGUUAGCGUUGUUCGGAAUUACUGGGCGUAAAGCGCACGUAGGCGGACUGGAAAGUAUGGGGUGAAAUCCCAGGGCUCAACCCUGGAACUGCCUCAUAAACUAUCAGUCUAGAGUUCGAGAGAGGUGAGUGGAAUUCCGAGUGUAGAGGUGAAAUUCGUAGAUAUUCGGAGGAACACCAGUGGCGAAGGCGGCUCACUGGCUCGAU
rnacentral:rRNA from 1 species